rnacentral:lncRNA from 1 species
UAAUAAUAAUAAUAAUAAUAACAGUCCCUGUCCUCUCCUCAGAAAUGCUGUAUGCUUUGGUGGGAGACUUCUCAAAAGUCUAUUUCAGUUACCCAAAGUAUUCAUGGAUGAGUACAGACAGCUUUAGACUUGUUCUGAAAUACAAGUCUUCUAAGUUAUCGCGAACAGGACGUCAGCCCAGGCAGCACGUGCCUUAAGAUAACGGCAAACCACGCUGGAUCUAUUCACAAAGGCAAAUUCUGUGUUUGCAACACAGGUUGUUUUGUUUUCCUUAUAAAACCUGUUCUUAGUCCUGCGGGCAAAAGCCGGAAGUAGCAAUUAUAAACUCCUCUGGGGCCCCCGUGGCCAAACUCCCCAGAUCUUUUAGCCCUUGACUGGGUCAAAAGUAUCUGUCACGUGAAAAGCAUUUGGAUGGUCCCUUUCAUCCACUCAACUGGAAAGCUCCCAGCUCACACAGAAGACCACAUCCAAGGAUGAAGGCAGAGGAGCCCUUAAGUGGUGUUUUUGAGCUAAGUAACCAGCCAGCCGCAACACGCUCUACUAUUAACCAAGAGGACCCGCUUUCCCCAAGGGACGGUGAGUCAGGGCUCUAUUUUUGUGGUUCGGCACACGCUGUUAAGGGGCGGCAGAAGGUUGCCCUUUUCCCACCACCUUCAUCCCCGAGAUCCUCUCAGACCUGACAUCAGGCUGUUGGCUACUCGUCAUAAAGCUUCCCUGUCAAAGGGAAUCCAGCGGAUGAGCCAUGAGCGCGCUUACAGUCAGAUAAUAGAUGAAAGGGCCCUCAAGAUAAACGAGGUGCCUACGGAAAACCCGGCAAGGUUGUUUAAAAGAAGAUGGCGAAGGCCGUUAAUUCUCCUCAGGCAGUUUCAAAAGGCGGUGGGCACUUGACUUCUUCCUUAAGAGCACAUUAUCUCGCGUUUGUGUGAGAGGGGCCCUGGGCAUGUUGAAAGGGCAAAGGAUGCCUUUCUAAACCGAUGUUAAACACCAUGCCCCUUUUUUUUUUUUUUGUAACAAAACAGUUUGUGGCUUCCCUUUCAAGACAUUUUGACCAGUCGCAUCGCAAAAGUAUCUGUUCUCUCCCACUCUGUUCCCCCUUCUCUCCCCACAUCCCCUGUAUGCCCAAUCGUAUCUGUAAGUCGGUAACACCAGCACCCUACCUCUUUUCUUUUCAGGGGCUGACCCUGUUUAGACACCAACUGUAUACUGUGGGUUUGGUGUGCUCACCUCGGCCUCAGUGAGAAUUCUUCGACCAGUGCUCUGCUCAGACCUACCAUCGUCUCUACUCAGAAACCCUGGUUGUUUCUCGGGUUGCCCAGUAACUCCUCAUGGCCAUUCAACUUUCUGUGCUUUGGACUUACCUGUUGAAUGGAAGCCCCGAAGUCCUCAGGAGGACUGAGUCAGGACUCCACUGAAGUUGUCGUGGGGCCUUCUGAUAAUCACAGCCAACUCCCAAGUCUGAACAGGCUGAUGAGAUCAGCGAGGAGUCUUUGAAUUCUGACACUGAGAAACUGAAACAGGACACGCUGGACUAGGAGAUCUCCCAGUUAAUGGAAGAGGGCAGUGGGUGAACCGGAGGCCCACAUCUCCCUCCUCCAUGAGUACAAUGACGUGAAGGGCAGGAAGUAGCUAAAAGCAAAGAUGCUGUUAAUGUGGCCCUGAGGUGCCAGCACCAAGGAGUUAUAAUUUUGAUCUAGACCUGAAUGACUGAGCAAAGUUUUGGAGAUUUUUAGCCACCACCCACAAAGACAGGUAUAAAGGGACAUGAAAAUCAGAGAGUUCACACAGCACAUUUAUGUGGUUUCCAGAUUUAAAAAAAAGUGGUAGAAGCAGGGUAUUUUUUGGGAGGGGUGAGACUUGUCAGUUCUAAGGUCCCUACAAGUACUUACUUAUGGAUGGAUGUGUGUGGCUGUCCCCUUUGUUAAUGACCACAGAAUCAGUUAAAAAAAGAAAAAGAGAAUUUAACUUUAUACAUGAAACCAGACAAAAGUGUAUUUUUAUAUUUUAACCAUUGAGCAAACAGCACGUUGUCACGUGUACUUGUAAUUUUUUAUGUGCAUGAACUAAGUAUAUAUACAUAUCUGUAUUGCACUCAUAACCAUCCUAGGAUAAUUUUCAUCAAACAUCAUUUGUGUUAGUCAGUUGCUUUUGAAUUCUCAGGUCAGAUGCGGUGACACCUUAUAAUUUUCAAGACUAGGCUUGGAAGGGUUUUAAAUAAAAUAGAGACCAAAUUUGAUCUAUGAAUUUGAGAUGAGAGUCUUUUCUGCCAUGGAAGAGUACAAAGUUGCCCAGUUCUGAGAGGCAAUCGGUGAUGAUGAUGGUGAU